rnacentral:tRNA from 1 species
UGUGGCUCGGCGCACUGGCGGACGCGAGCCCGCUGUCACCGGGCCGGACGCGCCGGAUCGCCUCCGGCGUGCUGCGGC